CCCUGUGCUUAAAAAGCUUUUAUAUCUGUCCCCACCAUUUACAGAACAUAUCUUUAGUGUGACCCAGUGGGUAAUACCCUUCACAAUUUAAUCCUAAUCUAAAAUUUCAAGGCAUAUUUGUGUGUGUGUGUGUGUGUGUGUGUGUGUGAAAACAUAAAUAUAAUACCCUCAACACACGUGGCCAUUAAUGCAAUUUUGUUGACGUUAAGAAUCCUGAUAGGAUGGAUUCACAGAAUCAUAAAAUCAUAGAACAUUAAUCCUAAUAUAAUCCAGACAAAAAUUAAUACUCAGAGAACUAAUCAGUUGUUUAAGUGCAUAAAAUUUGUUAUUGACAGAACAAGAACAAAAGCCAUAGUCUAACACAUUUGGAGCCAUUAGCCUCCUUCUCUGCAAUGCAAAUACAUCCUACAAAUCUACAGA
rnacentral:lncRNA from 10 species